GACGAACCGUGCGAACGUUGUUCGGAAUCACUGGGCUUAAAGGGCGCGUAGGCGGCCGGGUUGGUCGUGGGUGAAAUCCCCCAGCUUAACUGGGGAAUUGCCUACGAUACUGCCUGGCUCGAGGGAGGAAGGGGCGGCCGGAACUGUCGGUGGAGCGGUGAAAUGCGUUGAGAUCGACAGGAACGCCGGUGGCGAAAGCGGGCCGCUGGCCCUCUUCUGACGCUGAGGAGCGAAAGCCAGGGGAGCAAACGGG
rnacentral:rRNA from 1 species